CGUUGGAUCCAUGCAUGCAUGCACGGAACGGAAUCGUGGGGAUCCAUCCAGCUAGACCCGAUGACUCGCGCCAACACCAACUGCUUAACCGCGCGCCAUGGCCUGAUGGCCAUGCAUGCCAACCGUAGCAUGAUCACUUGACUUGACUUGUUCACCACCACACCGUACCGCCGCCUCUCCCUCUCCCUCGUCCUCGUCCUCGUCCGCGCGCGCAUAUGGCCCUGCCACUCUACGGCUGCAGGUCCUGCUCUGUGCAUGACGCCAUCGUCUUCUGCCUCUGGUGCGUCGCCAGGCUGUGCCUGCACUGCGACGCCGCCGUGCACGUGCACAGGGCGGCGGCGCUCCACCCGCGCGCCCGGCUCUGCGACGCCUGCGGCGACGCACCCGCCGUGGUGCGCUGCGACGGCACCGUGACGCUCUGCGCCGUGUGCGUCGGCCGCGGCGCUCCUGGCGUCACCCGAACCGGCGUCGCCACGUACACCGGCUGCCCCGGCCCCGCCGAGAUGGCGCGCCUCAUCUCCGUGGACCCGCCGCAGCCGCAGCAGGACUUGGAGGCCUGGCUCGCCGACAAGCUGGAGGACGACGACGAGCAGGAUCAUCAGCUCCCGCCAGAUUGGGAUGUCGCCAUGGAAACCGCCAGACUCGAGAAGAUGCUGGCAGACAGCUGCUACACUAGUAGUCAGCCUGAGUCAUCAUCCUCUCAUGGCAAUGGCAAUGGCAAUGGCAACCAUCAGCUCAUCUUCUCCUCGUCGCCGGCGGGCUACUGUCAGCAACAGCAUCAACAAGCCACUGCUGUGCAGCCGUCUUGGCAGAACAACAAUGACGCCGGAUUCCCUUUCGGUAGCGGCGUGUUGCCGGAGACCGCAGGUUUCAUGCAGCAGCAGCAGGCUGCAUCCCAGCCACCGCAGAUGACGACGGCCGCUGACCAUGACAAUAAGAUGCUGCAGGACGCCAUGGCCAAGAAGCGAAAGCGAGAGGAGAGGGAGAGGGCCAAACAAAGAUAUAACGAGAAGAAAAAGAACAGAAGGUUCUACAAGCAGAUCAUGUAUGCUUCUCGCAAGGCCAGAGCAGACACAAGAAAGCGAGUCAAAGGCCGCUUUGCAAAGGCUCAGCAUGAUGAUGAUCCCCAGAUUCUUGACGGCCCAUCAGCAUCCACAGCUACCGUGAAGAGGGUGACAAGCGGCUGAAAUGGUGGACAAAAAGAAAAAAUUAUUCUCCUUGGUGAAAUUUCCAAGAAAUUCACCCCAUUUCGGUGAGGCGAACACGACGGCAUGAACUAACGUGUAGGUGCCCAGGCGGUCUCUAUGGAGCAACCGUUCACACUUAAUUUAGAUUUGCUCCACAUGUCCAUGCACAUGCAUUCAACGUUUGAGUGUUUUCCUCCAACUAUUACUCCUAAAUUAAAAAUAGUCCCAUUCGUCAGAUGUGUGCGCAUGUACUAUGGUACGUGUAUGUGUCCAUGGUGGCUUAAUUUAUGAGAUCAUCUGCACUGCAUUUUCUUUAUUUCCUAGAGUGUGUGCAUGCUUUGGUUAAGUCAAGUUCAUGUGUAUUCAAUGUUAUCCUAAACGGUAAACAGUUGGUCA